rnacentral:rRNA from 1 species
GAUGAAUGCUGGCGGCGUGCCUAACACAUGCAAGUCGAGCGGUGACAGGUGUAGUUUACUACUUGCUGACGAGCGGCGGACGGCUGCGUAACGCGUGGGAACGUGCCCCAAAGUGCGGGAUAACUGCCCGGAAGGGUGGCUAAUACCGCAUAUGUUCUUCGGAUUAAAGGAUUUAUCCGCUUUGGGAGCGGCCCGCGUUAGAUUAGGUAGUUGGUAGGGUAAUGGCCUACCAAGCCUACGAUCUAUAGCUGGUCUGAGAGGAUGACCAGCCAGACUGGAACUGAGACACGGUCCAGACUCCUACGGGAGGCAGCAGUGAGGAAUCUUGCACAAUGGGCGAAAGCCUGAUGGAGCAACGCCGCGUGAAGGAUGAAGGCUCUCGGGUUGUAAACUUCUUUUAUAAGUGAAGAAUAUGACGGUAACUUAUGAAUAAGCACCGGCUAACUACGUGCCAGCCGCCGCCGUAA